rnacentral:rRNA from 1 species
UACGUAGGGUGCGAGCGUUGUCCGGAAUUAUUGGGCGUAAAGAGCUUGUAGGCGGUUUGUCGCGUCUGCUGUGAAAAUCCGGGGGCUCAACCCCGGACUUGCAGUGGGUACGGGCAGACUAGAGUGUGGUAGGGGAGACUGGAAUUCCUGGUGUAGCGGUGGAAUGCGCAGAUAUCAGGAGGAACACCGAUGGCGAAGGCAGGUCUCUGGGCCACUACUGACGCUGAGAAGCGAAAGCAUGGGGAGCGAACAGG